GACCGCGUAGCUCAGUUGGCAGAGCAUUGGGCUAGCAUUCCAAAGGUCGUAGGUUCGAUUCCCACCGUGGUCA
rnacentral:tRNA from 1 species